rnacentral:rRNA from 1 species
AGAGUUUGAUUCUGGCUCAGGAUGAACGCUGGCGGCGUGCCUAACACAUGCAAGUCGAGCGAAGCGCUUUUCUUAGAUUCUUCGGAUGAAGAGGAUUGUGACUGAGCGGCGGACGGGUGAGUAACGCGUGGGUAACCUGCCUCAUACAGGGGGAUAACAGUUAGAAAUGACUGCUAAUACCGCAUAAGACCACAGCACCGCAUGGUGCAGGGGUAAAAACUCUGGUGGUAUGAGAUGGACCCGCGUCUGAUUAGCUAGUUGGUAAGGUAACGGCUUACCAAGGCGACGAUCAGUAGCCGACCUGAGAGGGUGACCGGCCACAUUGGGACUGAGACACGGCCCAAACUCCUACGGGAGGCAGCAGUGGGGAAUAUUGCACAAUGGGGGAAACCCUGAUGCAGCGACGCUGCGUGAGCGAAGAAGUAUUUCGGUAUGUAAAGCUCUAUCAGCAGGGAAGAAAAUGACGGUACCUGACUAAGAAGCACCGGCUAAAUACGUGCCAGCAGCCGCGGUAAUACGUAUGGUGCAAGCGUUAUCCGGAUUUACUGGGUGUAAAGGGAGCGUAGACGGAUGGGCAAGUCUGAUGUGAAAACCCGGGGCUCAACCCCGGGACUGCAUUGGAAACUGUUCAUCUAGAGUGCUGGAGAGGUAAGUGGAAUUCCUAGUGUAGCGGUGAAAUGCGUAGAUAUUAGGAGGAACACCAGUGGCGAAGGCGGCUUACUGGACAGUAACUGACGUUGAGGCUCGAAAGCGUGGGGAGCAAACAGGAUUAGAUACCCUGGUAGUCCACGCCGUAAACGAUG